rnacentral:rRNA from 1 species
GAUGAACGCUGGCGGCGUGCUUAACACAUGCAAGUCGAACGAAGCAUUUGCGACAGAUUUUUUCGGAAUGAAGUUGCUUAUGACUGAGUGGCGGACGGGUGAGUAACGCGUGGGUAACCUGCCUUGUACUGGGGGAUAGCAGCUGGAAACGGCUGGUAAUACCGCAUAAGCGCGCAAUGUUGCAUGACAUGGUGUGAAAAACUCCGGUGGUAUAAGAUGGACUCGCGUCUGAUUAGCUAGUUGGUGAGAUAACAGCCCACCAAGGCGACGAUCAGUAGCCGAGCUGAGAGGGUGACCGGCCACAUUGGGACUGAGACACGGCCCAGACUCCUACGGGAGGCAGCAGUGGGGAAUAUUGCACAAUGGAGGAAAAUCUGAUGCAGCGACGCCGCGUGAGUGAAGAAGUAAUUCGUUAUGUAAAGCUCUAUCAGCAGGGAAGAUAGUGACGGUACCUGACUAAGAAGCUCCGGCUAAAUACGUG